AUUCCAGUAUAGUUUAUAUAAUUGAGUGGUUUAAAUCUCAAGAAGAACAAUAAAAAUAAGAAAUAGACAUGCAUAGAACAAUGUUGGUAACUUGCCGUAAAGAUUUGUUAUUACUGUUCUGUUGUAUGUUUGCUGGUUUUUUUUUUGUUUUGUUUUUUGUUUGUUUUUUGUUUGUUUGGUUUUUUUUUUUUUUCUUUUUUUUUUUUUGACAGAGAGAGAGCACAUGAGUGAGUGUGCAGUGGGGGAGAGAGGGAGAGGCGGAGGGGGACGGAGGGAGGGAGAGAGACUCUUAAGCAGGCUCCCUGCCCAGGCAGGGCCGGGAAUCCUGACCCUGAGAUCACGACCUGAGCUGAAAGCAAGAGUCAGUCUCUUAACCGACUGAGCCACUCAAGCUGUUCUCAUCUUUAAAGACAUAUUUUUAGUUCUCUUUUCACUAGAGUUCCGUAGAUGAUUGCACACCCAGAACUGAGGCAUAAGGAGCGACAGGCAGGGGCAUGGAUGAUUUUAUUCUGAUGGUUACAGACCAUGGCAGAGAUGGUGUGCCCAGCCCCUGCACCUUACAGCAGCUGCCUAAUUCUGAGUUCCCACAUCACUGUGCGGCAACACCACCCAGGACAGCCGUAUCCUACGGUGUGGUGGGGGAUCGUUGCUGGCAGCUCAGCCCUCCCAAUGAAUGCAUGUGCUAUUUACAUUACACUUAACAGUAAGUUUUUUUCCAGCCUAAAUUAUCUAGCGUGGAGUCCACUCUCUGUAACCAAGACCUCUACAAAACAGAGGGAGUUUAAAAAUCAUUGUAUUUUCAAACUUUACCCAGAUGUAUGACAACAUGAAGAGUUUGAAAUAGAUGUAUUACUUUGCUAGGGCUGCAGUAACAAAGUACCACAAACAGGAUGGGUAAAUACGUUAUUGGUUUUUGGUUUUUUGUGUUUGUCGGUUGGUUGUUGGUUUCUUUUUAGUUUUAGCAAAUACUGAGUAUUAUUAAGCUUCUCAGUAUGAACGCUAUGUGCCAAAUUAUAAUUGUGAUAAAUAUGGCUUGAUGGUAGUAGCUAUAAAACAGAUAGCUUAAAAUAACUAAGUUUACUUUACAAUCCAAACACGCUAAAAAAAAAAAAAAAAAAAAAAAAAAAAAAAAAAAAAACAAACACGCUAACACAGGAACUAAAAACUGAAAUUUUGUAAUGGUUCUUAUAGGUCUUAGAAAUACAGCUGUCCGGUAGAAGAAAUGUAAAUGAUCCUACUACAGAAUCUUCAAUGUUGGACUUCCUACCACAUUUAUCCAUGGCUACAUUUACCAGCAACAUGAACAACUGCUAAAAAUUCCAUAUCUUCUUGUUACAAAACAAAUAUGGAUCUUGUUUUCACUGUCUGUAAAUCAUGCUAAAUCAACCCAUCACAGGUUCCUUUGGUUGAAAUAAGAAAUACAACCUAACCAUUUCUAAUUCAAAUCCAAUCUUAAUUAUGGAAUACCUGUCAAAGGUGACUAGGAGAUAUCUUCGUUUUAAUUUGACUAGAGAAUUUUUUUCCACACAGAAUAGGCCACAUCUGUAAGAGUAUAGCAAUAUCUGAACUCUUGAAUACAUUUCUUCAAGUGGUAAAGUUUCUCAGAAAGGGAUUCAAGUGUGAUACAGAAAGCAAAAAGUAUUAUAACUUUCAAAAUAUUGAGUUUGUCUUUAAAUAGACAAGUUCAACAAAAGGUUAAGAUCAAUAACAUUUUUCUAAAAUAAAUGUCUUUAUUCAACCACAGUUCAGAGGGCAAACAUUUUUAAUUGCCCACAGUGUCCAUGGAGUUAUACUGAUGUUCGUCAAAAAAAUUCCCAUAUGUACACACACAAUCACGCCUAGACAUUUAUAACAAAAAAUUAGUAUGAUACAUGACAUACUAUGAUAUAUGACAUACUAUGAAACAUAUGACCAUCUCAAUAGAUGGAGAAAUAAAAUCAUUUGACAAAAUUCAACAUCUGUUCAUGAUAAAAAAAAAAAACUCAACAAAGUGGGUUUAGAGGGAACAUAUCUCAACAUAGUAAAGGGCAUAUAUGAAAAACCCAUAGCUAACACCAUACUCAAUGGUGGAUAACUGAGAGCUUUUCUUCUAAAAUCAGAGAGAUGACAAGGAUGUCCACUCCCACGACUUUUAUUCAACACAAUAUCGGAAGUGCUGGCUGUAGCAAACAGAUAAGAAAAAGAAAUAAAAGGCAUCCAAAUCAGUAAGGAAGAAGUAAAACUUUCACUAACUGCAGAUAACAUGACACUAUACAUAGAAACUCUAAAGACUCCACCAACAAACUAUGUGAAUAAAUGAAUUCAGUAAAGUUGCAGGAUAUAAAAUUAAUAUACAGGGGAUCCCUGAGUGGCUCAGCAGUUUCGCGCCUGCCUUCGGCAGGGGCAUGAUCCUGGAGUCCCUGGAUCGAGUCCCACAUCAGGCUCCCUGCGUGGAGCCUGCUUCUCCCUCUGCCUGUGUCUCUGCCUCUCUCUCUCUCUGUGUCUCUCAUGAAUAAAUAAAUAAAAUAUUAAAAAUUAAAAAAUUAAAAAAUGAAAUAAAAUUACUAUACAGAAAUCUGCUGCAUUGCUAUACACAGAGAACAAAGUAGCAGAAAGAGAAAUUAAGAAAACAACCCUAUUUACCAUUAUACCGAAAAGAAUAAAACACCUAGGAAUACAUUUAACCAAAGAGGGAAAAGACCUGUACUCUGAAAACUAUAAGACACUGAUGAAAGAAAUUUAAGAUAAUACAAACAAAUGAAAAGUUAUACCAGGCUCAUGGAUUAGAAUAAUUAUAGCAUUAAAAUAUCCAUACUACCCAAAGCAAACCACAGAUUUAAUGCAAUCUCUAUUAAAAUACCAGUAGCAUCUUUCAUAGAACUAGAAAAAAUAACUCUAAAAUUUGUGUGAAGCCACAAAAGACCUUAAAUAGCCAAAGUAAUCUUGAGAAAAAAGAACAAAGCUGGAAGUAUCACAAAAAUCUGAGAUUUCAAGAUGUUUUACAAAGGUGUAGUAAUCAAAACAGUAUGGUCCUGGGACAGAAACAGACACUUAGAUCAAUGGAAAAGGAUACAGGUCAGAAAUGAACCCAUACCUAUUUAUACAGUCAACUAAUCUACAAGAAAGGAAGCAAAAAUAUACAGAAAAGACAGACUCUUCAACAAAUGUGUUAGGAAAACUGGACAGCCACAUGCAAAAGAAUGCAAGUGAAUCACUUUAAUACACCAUGCACAAAAAUAAACUCAAAAUGGAUUAAACACCUAAAUGGGAGCCCUGAAACCAUAAAAGUCCUAAAAUGAAACACAGGCAGUAAUCUCUUGGACGUCAGCCUUGGCAACAUCUUUAUAGCUCGGUCUCCUCAGGCAAGGGAAACAAAAGCAAAAAAAAUGUGCAGCAUAAGGAAUAGUCAAUGAUAUUGUAAUAGUGAUGUAACAGGACAGAGGAUGGCUAUACUUGGCGAACACAGCCUGAUGUAUAAACUCGUCAAAUGGGUAAGUUGUACACCUGAAACUAAUGUAACAUUGGGUGUCAACUAUGCUCAAGAUAAUAACAUAAAAUAAAAACAAACUAUUGGGACUACGCUAAAAAAAAAAAAAAAAAAAAAA
rnacentral:lncRNA from 1 species